GGUCCUGCCUGCCCAGUGACCCCUGUUCAACGGCCGCGGUAUUUUAACCGCGCAAAGGUAGCGCAAUCACUUGUCCCUUAAAUGAGAACCAGUAUGAAUGGCUAGACGAGGGCUUAACUGUCUCCUUUUCCCAACCAAUGAAAUUGAUCUUCCCGUGCAGAAGCGGGAAUACUAACAUAAGACGAGAAGACCCUGCGGAGCUUUAGACGCCAGAACAGAUCACGUCAAAUACCUCCCUCAAAUAGGUAACAACAAAUGAACCCUGUUCCACGUCUUAGGUUGGGGCGACCACGGUGAACAGAAAAACCCCCGCGUGGACUGAGAGCACAUAUUCACACUCAUUAAUACUGCUUCUCACAACCAUGAGCUACAACUCUAAAUAACAGAACUUCUGACCAAAAAAAUGAUCCGGCAAUGCCGAUUAACGGACCAAGUUACCCCAGGGAUAACAGCGCAAUCCUCUUUAAGAGCCCAUAUCGACAAGAGGGUUUACGACCUCGAUGUUGGAUCAAGACAUCCUAAUGGUGCAACCGCUAUUAAGGGUUCGUUUGUUCAACGAUUAAAGUCUU
rnacentral:rRNA from 1 species